AGAGUUUGAUCCUGGCUCAGGACGAACGCUGGCGGCGCGCCUAACACAUGCAAGUCGAACGAGAGAGAAGGAGCUUGCUUCUUCGAUCGAGUGGCGAACGGGUGAGUAACGCGUGAGGAACCUGCCUCAAAGAGGGGGACAACAGUUGGAAACGACUGCUAAUACCGCAUAAGCCCACGGUGCCGCAUGGCACAGAGGGAAAAGGAGCAAUCCGCUUUGAGAUGGCCUCGCGUCCGAUUAGCUAGUUGGUGAGGUAACGGCCCACCAAGGCGACGAUCGGUAGCCGGACUGAGAGGUUGAACGGCCACAUUGGGACUGAGACACGGCCCAGACUCCUACGGGAGGCAGCAGUGGGGAAUAUUGCACAAUGGGGGAAACCCUGAUGCAGCGACGCCGCGUGGAGGAAGAAGGUCUUCGGAUUGUAAACUCCUGUUGUUGAGGAAGAUAAUGACGGUACUCAACAAGGAAGUGACGGCUAACUACGUGCCAGCAGCCGCGGUAAAACGUAGGUCACAAGCGUUGUCCGGAAUUACUGGGUGUAAAGGGAGCGCAGGCGGGAAGACAAGUUGGAAGUGAAAUCUAUGGGCUCAACCCAUAAACUGCUUUCAAAACUGUUUUUCUUGAGUAGUGCAGAGGUAGGCGGAAUUCCCGGUGUAGCGGUGGAAUGCGUAGAUAUCGGGAGGAACACCAGUGGCGAAGGCGGCCUACUGGGCACCAACUGACGCUGAGGCUCGAAAGUGUGGGUAGCAAACAGGAUUAGAUACCCUGGUAGUCCACACCGUAAACGAUGAUUACUAGGUGUUGGAGGAUUGACCCCUUCAGUGCCGCAGUUAACACAAUAAGUAAUCCACCUGGGGAGUACGACCGCAAGGUUGAAACUCAAAGGAAUUGACGGGGGCCCGCACAAGCAGUGGAGUAU
rnacentral:rRNA from 1 species